rnacentral:rRNA from 1 species
AACGCUAGCUACAGGCUUAACACAUGCAAGUCGAGGGGCAGCAUGGACCCAGUUUUGCUGGGUUUGAUGGCGACCGGCGCACGGGCGAGUAACGCGUAUCCAACCUGCCCUUUACUCCGGGAUAGUCUCCUGAAAGGGAGUUUAAUACCGGAUGUGUUUGUCUUUCCGCAUGGGAGCGACAAAUAAAGAUUGAUUGGUAAAGGAUGGGGAUGCGUCCCAUUAGCUUGUUGGCGGGGUAACGGCCCACCAAGGCGACGAUGGGUAGGGGUUCUGAGAGGAAGGUCCCCCACAUUGGAACUGAGACACGGUCCAAACUCCUACGGGAGGCAGCAGUGAGGAAUAUUGGUCAAUGGGCGGGAGCCUGAACCAGCCAAGUAGCGUGAAGGAUGACGGCCCUACGGGUUGUAAACUUCUUUUAUAAGGGAAUAAAGUUCGCCACGUGUGGUGUUUUGUAUGUACCUUAUGAAUAAGCAUCGGCUAAUUCCGUGCCAGCAGCCGCGGUAAUACGGAAGAUGCGAGCGUUAUCCGGAUUUAUUGGGUUUAAAGGGAGCGUAGGCGGGCUUUUAAGUCAGCGGUCAAAUGCCACGGCUCAACCGUGGCCAGCCGUUGAAACUGCAAGCCUUGAGUCUGCACAGGGCACAUGGAAUUCGUGGUGUAGCGGUGAAAUGCUUAGAUAUCACGAAGAACUCCGAUUG